UCCGUAGGCGAGUAAUUAAGUCAGAGGUGAAAUCCCACAGCUUAACUGUGGAACUGCCUUAGAUACUGGUUAUCUUGAGUUUUAGUGAAGUAGAUAGAAUGUGUAGUGUAGCGGUGAAAUGCAUAGAUAUUACACAGAAUACCGAUUGCGAAGGCAGUCUACUAACUAACAACUGACGCUAAUGGACGAAAGCGUGGGGAGCGAACAGGAUUAGAUACCCUGGUAGUC
rnacentral:rRNA from 1 species